rnacentral:rRNA from 1 species
CCUACGGGAGGCAGCAGUGGGGAAUAUUGCACAAUGGGGGGAACCCUGAUGCAGCGACGCCGCGUGGGUGAAGGAGUAUUUCGGUAUGUAAAGCCCUAUCAGCAGGGAAGCACAAUGACGGUACCUGACUAAGAAGCACCGGCUAAAUACGUGCCAGCAGCCGCGGUAAUACGGAUGGUGCAAGCGUUAUCCGGAUGUACUGGGUGUAAAGGGAGCGCAGGCGGCGCGUUAAGCCUGGUGUGAAAGUCCGCGGCUCAACCGCGGGACUGCAUUGGGAACUGGCGCGCUGGAGUGCCGGAGGGGUAGGCGGAAUUCCUAGGGUAGCGGUGAAAUGCGUAGAUAUUAGGAGGAACACCAGUGGCGAAGGCGGCCUACUGGACGGUGACUGACGCUGAGGCUCGAAAGCGUGGGGAGCAAACAGGAUUAGAGACCCUGGUAGUC